ACGGGGUGCAGCAGGCGCGAAAACUUUACAAUACGGGAAACCGCGAUAAGGGGAUACCGAGUGCCAGCAUAUUAUGUUGGCUGUCCACAUGUGUAAACGGCAUGUGUUAGCAAGGGCCGGGCAAGACCGGUGCCAGCCGCCGCGGUAACACCGGCGGCCCGAGUGGUAAUCACUUUUAUUGGGUCUAAAGGGUCCGUAGCCGGUUUGAUCAGUUCUUCGGGAAAUCUGACAGCUCAACUGUUAGGCUUCCGGGGAAUACUGUCAGACUUGGGACCGGGAGAGGUAAGAGGUACUACAGGGGUAGGAGUGAAAUCUUGUAAUCCCUGUGGGAUCACCAGUGGCGAAGGCGUCUUACCAGAACGGGUCCGACGGUGAGGGACGAAAGCUGGGGGCACGAACCGGAUUAGAUACCCGGGUAGUCCCAGCCGUAAACGAUGUUCGCUAGGUGUCAGGGGCGGUGCGACCGCUUCUGGUGCCGUAGGGAAGCCGUGAAGCGAACCACCUGGGAAGUACGGCCGCAAGGCUGAAACUUAAAGGAAUUGGCGGGGGAGCAC
rnacentral:rRNA from 1 species